CUUGCGGAGACUGGGCGCAGGGCGUGGGGGUCAGUGAGGGCGCGGUGGGUCAGCCCCAGCCCGGCUGGCAGUCGCGGGGCUGGGAAGGUAGGGAACCCUCCGCUCUCACCCCACUUCCUGUUUGGUCGGUGUGUUCUGUGACCAUAGAUGGUCAAGUCUGGGGCCGCGCGGAAGCCUCCGCCCUGUGGUUUUGGAGCCCUUCCUCCCGGCGCGCAGGGUGUGGUCCCCGAGAAUAAGAUGAGCAGAAUUAAAGCAGAUCCUGCACCCACUCUGCUGAAAUCCGGCUUCUGAGGCAGCCUCGCCCAGGGCUGGGUGGGCUCAGGCGGCUGCUACUCGGUUCAGGGGAGGUUACGCACGGUGGCUGCCGCGCGCAGGGGAGGCUUCGCUUCCGUACUCCUUGGGCCGGGAGAUCCGAUCUUUGUUCCCUCAAGACUCACACUCUCCAACCGGUCAUUAUCCUCCCACAAAGAUUUAUUUCUAGAAAAAAUUGGCAAGUGCCACAGUUCCCGCCCCUUCAGCUGAACGACUGUGACAGCUCCGUGUUUCAAGUUGAAUGCAGGCGUUAUGUGCCAGAGUCAAUCAUUCAACAAAUAAAGUUCUUAAAAUAACAGCUACCAUUUACUGCACGCUGACUACUUGCCAGGCCCAUGCUGAGUUCUUCAAGCGUAUUUUCAUUUACUCCUAAUAGCAACUCUCGGUGAGACAGAAGGAACAUAGACCAUACACGCAUUCUAGAGGAAGAGGAGAGAGAAGAGGAAGCAGGAAGGAGAAUGAAGAAAGUUUCCUCAUCAGGUGGGGAAUAUUAAUGGGGCUGUAAUGAGAAACGGAAGCAGUAAUGUAUGUGAAACCACUUUGUAAAAUGCUUCAUUAUAAAGAAUGCACACACGACUUAAGUUACAACCCCUGCCCUAAGGAAUGUCCAGUCUUUUAAGAAGUCUAGAUCCAUGCAUUUGUAACUCCAGUAGGAGAUGGGAAGAUAGUUUAAGAAUAUCCGUCACAUGAAGGGCUGGGCGCGGUGGCUCACACCUGUAAUCCCAGCAUUUUGGGAGGCCGAGGCGGGCAGAUAACGAGGUCAAGAGAUCAAGACCAGCCUGGCCAAUAUGGUGAAACCCCGUCUCUACUAAAAAAUACAAAAAUUAGCUGGGCGUGGUGGCAUGCGCCUGUAGUCCCAGCUAUUUGGGAGGCUGAGGCAGGAGAAUCGCUUGAACCCGGGAGGCAGAGGUUGCAGUAAGCUGAGAUCGUGCUUCUCUACUCUAGCCUGGCGACAGAGUGAGACUCUGUCUCAAAAAAAUAAAUAAAAGAAUAUCUGUCACAUGUAUUUAUGCACUGAAAAAAAACUAUUGAGCUACAUAGUAGCAAUUAUUGGAAGAGUUCAAUAAUUGCUAUGCUACUUUGUACCAAGCACAACUAGGGAUCCAGCAGUGGACAAGUCAGACCCUGUUACUGCUCUCAUGGAGCUUACAGUCUAUUUUGGAAAUGAUAUUUCCAUUUGGAGUGGUCAUCAGAAGAUACGCUGCCUUCUGUCUUCCAGCUUUUUCCUCCUCGCUGAUCUUGCCCCUUGUCCAGUACCCAGUGCUUCAUCCAUGGGUUUCAGACACAGAAGUCUGGCGGUUCAUCUGGAGCCUUUCCCAGCCUGACUCAGAGGACUGCCUGCAUCUGUGCAACCUGGCUCAGAGCCUGUCUACGUUUGGGCAGAGCCUAUAUCCCCCUGCCAAACGGGCUAAUGACAGACAACAGUCUAUGUGACCCUAUCUUUCUUCCCCUCCAAGGGUAUGGCCCCAGAUUUCAGCCUCAGAUAGGGGAUCAGGCCCAAAAAUUAGGAGUUGGCAAAAGAAAUAGCCGCAAUAUAGAAAUAUGAUUAAGAUCUGGCUUUGGGGUCACUCUGAAACUGAAUCCCAACUCUGCCAACUGUGUGAUCUUGGAGUUAUCCUCAUUUAACCUCAGAGGAUAUAUUAAUAGCCGUCUUAAAUGGUUGAUAGGAAUUAGGACAGAAAACUAAUAAAACACUUGGCUCACAGUAAACACUCAAUGAGUAGUAACAAUUAUUAUUAAGUAUAGAGAAUCUCUUGUCUGUUUCCCUGGCAAAGGCCAUCAGAAAGCAAAAUAAGGUCUAAAGUGUCAACAUACUGGAUGGUGCCACCAGAACUACUACUACUGUCCCCAUCCCCAGAAAG
rnacentral:lncRNA from 1 species